rnacentral:rRNA from 1 species
GUGGGGAAUUUUGGACAAUGGGCGCAAGCCUGAUCCAGCCAUUCCGCGUGCAGGAUGAAGGCCUUCGGGUUGUAAACUGCUUUUGUACGGAACGAAAAGCCUCUGGUUAAUACCCGGGGGUCAUGACGGUACCGUAAGAAUAGGCACCGGCUAACUACGUGCCAGCAGCCGCGGUAAUACGUAGGGUGCGAGCGUUAAUCGGAAUUACUGGGCGUAAAGCGUGCGCAGGCGGUGAUGUAAGACAGUUGUGAAAUCCCCGGGCUCAACCUGGGAACUGCAUCUGUGACUGCAUUGCUGGAGUGCGGCAGAGGGGGAUGGAAUUCCGCGUGUAGCAGUGAAAUGCGUAGAUAUGCGGAGGAACACCGAUGGCGAAGGCAAUCCCCUGGGCCUGCACUGACGCUCAUGCACGAAAGCGUGGGGAGCAAACAGGAUUAGAUACCCCAGUAGUCC